rnacentral:rRNA from 1 species
GACGAACGCUGGCGGCGUGCCUAACACAUGCAAGUCGAGCGAACGGGCCCGGCGCUUGCUUCUCUCUUGUUAGCCGCAGAGGUGUGAGAAACGCGUGGAUAACCUCCCUAUAAGACUGGUAUCACUUCGGGACACCGGCGCUUAUCCCGGAUAAUAUCCUGCACCACGUGGUUGGAUAGUGAAAGACGGUCUUGCUGUCAGUUCUCGAUGGAUCCGCGCUGCAUUAGCGAGUUGGUAAGGUAAAGGCUUAUCAAGGCAACGAUGCGUAACCGACCGGAGGGAGGGAUCGCCCACCCGGGAACGGAGACACGGUCCAGACUCCUACGAGAGGCACCAGUAGGGAAUCUUCCGCAAUAGUGGAAAGCCUGACGGAACAACGCCGAGUGAGAGGUGAAGGUCCCGGGAUCGUGAUACUCUGUUAUUAGGGGAGAACAGAUGUGUAAGGAGCUGAGCAGAGCGUGACGGUACCUAAUCAGGAAGCCACGGCUAACUACGUG